ACGGAGGGGGCAAGCGUUGUUCGGAAUUACUGGGCGUAAAGGGCGUGUAGGCGGUUAGGUAAGUCAGUUGUAAAAGCCCCGAGCUUAACUUGGGAACUGCCACUGAAACUGCCUAGCUUGAGUUUGGGAGAGGAUAGAGGAACUCCCAGUGUAGCGGUGAAAUUCGUAAAUCUUGGGAGGAACACCGGUGGCGAAGGCGGCUUUCUGGACCAAAACUGACGCUGAGGAGCGAAAGCUAGGGGAGCUAACGG
rnacentral:rRNA from 1 species